rnacentral:rRNA from 1 species
UACGUAGGGGGCAAGCGUUGUCCGGAAUCAUUGGGCGUAAAGCGCGUGUAGGCGGCCCGAUAAGUCCGCUGUGAAAGUCCAGGGCUCAACCCUGGGAUGCCGGUGGAUACUGUCGGGCUCGAGUCCGGAAGAGGAGAAUGGAAUUCCCGGUGUAGCGGUGAAAUGCGCAGAGAUCGGGAGGAACACCCGUAGCGAAGGCGGUUCUCUGGGCCGGUACUGACGCUGAGGAGCGAAAGCGUGGGGAGCAAACAGG